rnacentral:rRNA from 1 species
UACGUAGGGGGCAAGCGUUGUCCGGAUUUAUUGGGCGUAAAGAGCGUGUAGGCGGCCAAGCAGGUCCGCUGUGAAAACUCGAGGCUCAACCUCGAGAGGUCGGUGGAAACCGUUUGGCUAGAGUCCGGAAGAGGAGAGUGGAAUUCCUGGUGUAGCGGUGAAAUGCGCAGAUAUCAGGAAGAACACCCGUGGCGAAGGCGGCUCUCUGGUACGUGACUGACGCUGAGACGCGAAAGCGUGGGGAGCGAACAGG